UAACAAAAGAAUAGUUCAUUUUGAUAAACCCUUCCAGAGGCGUCUGUUUGUUCGCCUCUCAAUCUCUGGCAUUGUGCGCUCGUGGGUUCGGCGCUCAGGAGGGGACCAUGGUAGAGCUGGAGAAGGAGGUGCUCCCGCUGCCUCCACGGUACCGGUUCCGAGACCUGUUGCUGGGUGACUGGCAGGCUGAUGACAGGGUGCAGGUAGAAUUCUAUGUGAAUGAAAACACUUUCAAGGAGCGCCUCAAGCUGUUCUUCAUUAAAAACCAAAGAUCCAGUCUGAGGGUGAGGCUGUUCAACUUCUCUCUGAAAGUAUUGAGCUGUCUCCUCUACAUGGUCAGAGUCCUACUGGACGACCCACGGGAGGAGAGACAGGACUGUCUGGACUGUUCCAAACAGAAUGCAUCGGUCCACCCCAGCAGGACCCAGUUUGACUGGUCUCUUAUCAUCUGGGUGAAUAGGCCUCUGCCUCUGUGGGCUCUACAGGUGCUUGUAGCUUUCAUCAGCUUUUUCGAGACCAUGUUGCUUGUGUACCUCAGCUACAAGGGCAACGUUUGGGAGCAAGUGUUGCGUGUUCCCUUCAUCCUGGAGAUGAUCAGUGCUGUUCCCUUUGUGAUCACUGUGAUUUUGCCCUCCCUCAGAAAUCUGUUCAUCCCUGUGUUUCUCAACUGCUGGCUGGCCAAACAUGCCUUGGAGAACAUGAUAAAUGAUCUGCACCGGGCCAUCCAGCGUACUCACUCAGCUAUGUUCAACCAGGUCCUCAUCCUCAUCUGCACCCUGGUCUGCCUCAUGUUCACCUGUAUAUGUGGGAUCCAGCACCUAGAGCGAGCAGGAAACAACCUGACUCUGUUUGACUCGCUCUACUUCUGCGUGGUCACCUUCUCUACUGUGGGCUUCGGUGAUGUCACGCCCCAGAUAUGGCCUUCUCAGCUGCUAGUGGUCAUCAUGAUCUGUGUGGCGCUCAUCGUGCUUCCCAUACAGUUUGAGCAGCUGGCCUUCCUGUGGAUGGAGCGCCAGAAGUCUGGGGGGAACUACAGCCGAUACCGGGCCCAGACGGAGAAGCACGUGGUGCUGUGUGUCAGCUGCCUCAAGAUAGACCUCCUCAUGGACUUCCUCAACGAGUUCUUCGCUCACCCCAGACUGCAGGACUACUACGUGGUGAUCCUGUGCCCAGCAGAGAUGGAUGUACAGGUACGGAGGGUCCUCCACGUGCCCCUGUGGGCACAGAGGGUCAUCUACCUGCAGGGCUCCGCCCUCAAGGACCAAGACCUCAUGAGGGCCAAGAUGGACGAUGCUGAGGCCUGUUUUAUCCUCAGUAACCGAUUCGAGGUGGACCGCUUCGCUGCUGAUCACCAGACCAUUCUAAGAGCCUGGGCGGUGAAAGACUUUGCCCCAAACUGCCCCCUGUAUGUCCAGAUCCUCAAACCUGAGAACAAGUUCCACGUCAAGUUUGCAGAUCAUGUGGUGUGUGAAGAGGAGUUUAAGUAUGCCAUGCUGGCCCUGAACUGUGUGUGUCCUGCUACCUCCACCCUCAUCACCCUGUUGAUCCACUCCUCUAGAGGACAAACAGCACCCCCAGAGGCCUUCAGGCAACAUGCAGGAGCCUUCCAGCCCCUCAACAGGGAGGGCGGGGCAUGCUCAGCUGACCAGUGGCAGCGCACCUACCGCCGCUGCUCGGCCAAUGAGGUGCAUCACAUUUGUCUGGAGGAGAGCAAGUUCUUUGGGAGUACCAGGGGAAGAGUUUCACCUUCGCCUCCUUCCACGCACACAAGAAGUAUGGUGUGUGUCUGAUUGGAGUGCGGAGGCUGGAAAAUGCCAACAUCCUGCUGAACCCAGGUCCUGGCCACAUCAUGGGCAGCUCAGACACCUGCUUCUACAUCAACAUUUCCAAAGAGGAGAACUCAGCUUUUGUCAGAGGCCACAGAGAGCCCACGCGGGGGGGCCCCAAGGGCAGUGACAGGGGGGUGGGGCCCCAGACCAUCUACCAUGGACUCACCAGACUGCCUGUCCACAGCAUCAUCGCCAGCAUGGGCACGGUGGCCAUUGACCUGCAGGACUCCAGUGACAGCAGCCCAGAGGGCCAGGGCCCGGGGGGAAUGACCAUGGGCAGUGGGGGAGGUGGAGGUGGCAGGGCCAGCCGGACAGAGGGGGGGUUGGGGGGCGCUAACACCCUGGCCAUCCCAGCCACAACAGAGGAGAGACGCCACAGCAUCGCCCCUGUCCUGGAGCUGGUGGACGGGGUCAACUCAGCAACCUUCGACCUGCUGGGGGACCAAUCAGAGGACGAGGGCGGGGACGAGGGGAAGGAUGAGGGGGACGGAGACGAGAAUGGCCAGUGUUGGGGUGGACGCUGCGAGUGGGUGAAGGGGUACCCGCUGAACUCUCCGUACAUUGGCAGUUCCCCUUCCUUGUGUCACCUGCUGCAGGAAAAAAUGCCCUUCUGCUGCCUGCGCCUGGACAAGGCCUGCCACCACAUCCCGUUCGAGGACGCUCGGUCAUAUGGAUUUAAGAACAAGCUGAUCAUCGUGUCGGCGGAGAGUGCAGGAAACGGCCUGUACAACUUUAUCGCACCCCUGAGGGCUUACUACCGCCCCAAGAAAGAGCUGAACCCCAUCGUGCUGCUACUGGAGAACAUACCCGAGCCAGACUUCCUGGAGGCUAUCUGCUGGUUCCCCAUGGUGUUCUACACAGUGGGCUCCAUUGACAACCUGGACAGUCUGCUGCGUUGUGGGGUGACGUUUGCUGACACCAUGGUGGUGGUUGACAAGGAGAGCUCCAUGAUCGCUGAGGAGGACUACAUGGCCGACGCCAAGACCAUAGUCAACGUCCAGACCCUCUUUAGACUGUUCCCAGCCCUCAGCAUCAUCACUGAGCUCACCCACCCAGCCAACAUGCGCUUCAUGCAGUUCAAAGUCAAAGACCACUACUCCCUGGCUCUCUCCAAGCUGGAGAAGAAAGAGAGAGAGAUGGGCUCCAACCUGGUCUUCAUGUUUCGUCUACCCUUCGCUGCUGGCAAGGUGUUCAGUGUCAGCAUGCUGGAUACUCUACUGUAUCAGUCCUUUGUGAAGGACUACAUGAUUUCCAUCACCAGACUGUUGCUGGGACUAGACUCCAUGCCUGGCUCAGGCUUCCUCUGUGCUAUGAAGAUCACUGAGGAGGACCUGUGGAUCCGCACCUAUGGUCGACUCUACCAGAAACUGUGCUCCUCCACUGGUGACAUCCCCAUCGGCAUCUACCGCACUGAAGCCCAAAAGUUACCAGUCUCUGAGUCCCAGGUGUCCAUCACAGUGGAGGACUACGAGGACACCAGAGAGCCCAGAGAGCCCCUGCUGUCCCGGAGGGGUCCCCACCGCAACUCCACCUCUUCCGAGCCCCCCUCCUCUUCCUCCCACUCCUCGGACCACCCCCUCCUCCGGCGGAAGAGCAUGCAGUGGGCCAGAAGGCUAAGCAGGAAGGGGGGUCGGGGGCCCAGUGGGUCGAAGGGGGCCACAGGAAGCGCUGCAGAGAGGAUCAGCCAGCAGAGACUGACCCUGUUCAGACGCUCUGAGAGACAGGAGCUCAACUCUCUGGUCCGCACACGCAUGAAACACCUGGGCCUCUCAGCCACAGGAUUCAAUGGGAUGACGGACCAGGGCAACAGGUUGUCUUACAUCCUCAUCAACCCCUCUCCUGACACCAGGCUGGAGCUGCACGAUGUGGUGUACUUGAUCAGACCAGACCCUCUGUCUCUGUUGCCUAACCAGGGGGGCACUAGGAAGGUCAGCAACAGCCGCUCCGAGGGCCACAGGUUCGACACACAGAACAGCACCCAUUUAUGAGCAUAGACAACAGAACUAAGCAGCAGAGUGUGAGUGGAGAAAGAAAUGAGAGAGAGAGACAGAGAGAGAGCGAGGGAGAGAAAGAGGGAGAGAAACAGAGAAAGAGAGAGGGGGAUAUUCUAUCGGGAAGGACACAUGUUCCACAUCUACUCUGAACAGACAGUCACAGCUGUCACUUGUUUUGUAUUCGGAAACUCUCAAAUGCAUGGACCUUUUCUACAAACUGGUUUGUUUCAUUUAUGCACCGUUUCAUUUUUGAAGUGGAGAGCUGGGGACACAGAAGUGCAUUCAAUGACCUUGUAUUUGUAUUUAUGUAUGUGCAUGUACUGUAUGUAUGUUAUGAGCCAGACACUGACAUUUAUAUCUGGACAGCCAAAGGAACACAUUUCCAAAUGACUGUUAUUUUUCUGUCUCUAUGUGGUUGUGUGUGUCGAGGUGAUUGCAGCUGAGCCAACAGUAUGCUGAUCUGGGGUUUCAUGAAUAUGUUCUGUACCUUUUUAUCUGAUCCUACUGUUACUUUAACUCUCCGUCAGUUCCCACAUUCAUCUUUUAGCUCACCAGCAGCAGAGGAAGCCAAAGAGCAGUGAUCACCUGUCAAUUUCCACAAUUAGAGAGCUAGCAGGCAGACACUAAUGCUGGAUGAUCUAUAACACCAUUUACUGUCUUCAGAAAGAAAGGGAAAAGCUUUGAAGGAGUGACCCAGUUUACUGAUUCAUGUAACUUUAUGGAUAGUUCCAAAUGGCCAAGGCCAGUUUUUGUGUCUCUGUUAAGUUAGUUAGUUAUUUAGUUAGUGUUUACCCUUCCCCACAUCUCCUCAACCAGCUCGCUAUUCUAUUAUUGUCAUGCAUGUUGGAGAGUCAUGCAUGUGGAGACCAAGAUCUUGAAAGCCAUGCGAAUCUUUGUCUGAAACUCAGCAGAGGUUUUCAGAGAUGGUGGCGCCACCAUGUGGUGAGAAUGCUGCUCAGCAUCCAUGCACUACAGUGCCCUCAUUCAGUGCUGUUUCAACAGAUAUGGAAAUAUGUAUAUAUUAAAGUUGCUAUACAUCUA